CAAAAACAUGGCCUCUUGGAAAAUAUAGGAGGUCUGACCUGCCCAGUGAUAUUAUUUUAACGGCCGCGGUAUAUUGACCGUGCAAAGGUAGCAUAAUCAUUAGUCUUUUAAAAGAGGGCUGGAAUGAAAGGUUUGACGAGGUGUUAACUGUCUCAUUUUAUUUGAUUUUAAAAUUUAACUUUUUAGUCAAAAGGCUAAAAUUUAAUUGGAAGACGAGAAGACCCUAUAGAGCUUUAUAUUUUUUUCUUUUAAUAAUUUUAUAUAAUUUAUUAUUAUGGGAAUUAGUAUUUUGUUGGGGUGACAAAAAUAUAUAAUAAACUUUUUUAUUUACUUAACAUUGAUAUAUGAAUAUUAGAUCCUUUAUUAUUGAUUAUUAGAUUAAGUUACCUUAGGGAUAACAGCGUAAUCCUCCCCCANAGUUCAUAUUUACGGGUAGGGCUUGCGACCUCGAUGUUGGAUUAAGAUAAUACUUAGGUGUAGCCGCUUAAGGUAUAGGUCUGUUCGACCUUUAAAUUCUUACAUGAUCUGAG
rnacentral:rRNA from 1 species